GAUGAAGAACGCAGCGAAAUGCGAUAAGUAAUGUGAAUUGCAGAAUUCAGUGAAUCAUCGAAUCUUUGAACGCACAUUGCGCCCGCCAGUAUUCUGGCGGGCAUGCCUGUUCGAGCGUCAUUUCAACCAUCAAGCCCCCGGCUUGUGUUGGGGACCUGCGGCUGCCGCAGGCCCUGAAAAGCAGUGGCGGGCUCGCUGUCACACCGAGCGUAGUAGCAUACAUCUCGCUCUGGGCGUGCUGCGGGUUCCGGCCGUUAAACCACCUUCAUAACCCAAGGUUGACCUCGGAGCAGGUAGGAAGACCCGCUGAACUUAAGCAUAUCAAUAAGCGGAGGA
rnacentral:misc_RNA from 1 species